rnacentral:rRNA from 1 species
GAGUUUGAUCGUGGCUCAGGAUUAACGCUAGCGGCAGGCAUAAUACAUGCAAGUUGAACGAGAUAAGUUGUAGCAAUACGGCUUUGAAAGUGGCGCACGGGUGCGUAACACGUAUGCAACCUACCUUUUACAGGGGGAGUAGCCUCUCGAAAGAGAGAUUAAUACCCCACUAAUAUAUUUGUUGGGCGAUCUAAUAGAAUAUUAAAGACUGAGGCGGUAAAGAUGGGCGAUGCGGCUGAUUAGGUAGUUGGUGAGGUAAUGGCUCACCAAGCCGACGAUCAGUAGGGGUCGUGAGAGGAUGUCCCCCACCACUGGUACUGAGACACGGACCAGACUCCUACGGGAGGCAGCAGUAGGGAAGUAUUGGACAAUGGGCGCAAGCCUGAUCCAGCCAUGCCGCGUGCAGGAUGAAGGCCCUAUGGGUCGUAAACUGCUUUUGUACGGGAAGAAACCUCACUACGUGUAGUGAGUUGACGGUACCGUGAGAAUAAGG